CCAACGCGGACACCCUGUGAGUUGACCCUCAUAUGGCUCUGUCUGUGUGGCGUAUGGGAGCGUAGCACAUUAGUGCCAUGACGUACAGUCCCGUUCCACGACGUUGGAGAGUAAGCAUGUCCCCGGCGUUUGGCUGGUGAGGACUGCGUCCUGUAUAUUCCUAGAUCUUCCCAGAGCCUUUGGGCCAUUACUGGGGAGGUAAACCAUGCAGUGCACAUUA
ensembl:snoRNA SNORA73 Small nucleolar RNA SNORA73 family